rnacentral:misc_RNA from 1 species
AAGUCGUAACAAGGUUUCCGUAGGUGAACCUGCGGAAGGAUCAUUAUUGGAUUUACGGGCGAGGGUUGUCGCUGGCCUCUCGGGGGCAUGUGCACGCCCGAGCCAUCCCCCAACAAACGCCGUGGGCCCUUCCGGGCCCCGCGUAUAUCUACUCUGAAUGUGUAUAGAAUGUAAACCAUUUGUUUGCCCUGAAAAAGCAAACGAAAAAUUAGUACAAC